AUUGAACGCUGGCGGCAGGCCUAACACAUGCAAGUCGAGCGAGCGGCGGACGGGUGAGUAAUGUCUGGGAAACUGCCUGAUGGAGGGGGAUAACUACUGGAAACGGUAGCUAAUACCGCAUACCAUCAGAUGUUCCCCGAUGGGAUUAGCUAGUAGGUGGGGUAACGGCUCACCUGGGCGACGAUCCCUAGCUGGUCUGCGAGGAUGACCAGCCAAACGGGAACUGAGAGACGGUCCAGACUCCUACGGGAGGCAGCAGUGGGAAAUAUUGCACAAUGUGCGCAAGCCUGAUGCAGCCAUGCCGCGUGUGUGAAGAGGGCCUUCGGGUUGUAAAGCACUUUCAGCGGGGAGGCGUUACCCGCAGAAGAAGCACCGGCUAACUCCGUGCCAGCAGCCGCGGUAAUAC
rnacentral:rRNA from 1 species